UAUUGCAAAGUUUUAAUAUUGAUAUUUCUUUCCAUGCUUAUUUUUGCAUGACUAGAGCUAAUUUUCAGAUUAAGCAUGCCCAGCAUCUUACACUUAGGACUGCAGACUGAUUUGGUGAACUAGGGAUUAUUGCUUCAGUACAGAAUUUGGAAAUAUCUUGUCUUGAAAAGAAUUUGGAUAUGAGACUCAGUGUAGUCACCAAAGAAACUAAACCUGGUCUAACUCAAUACCUGCUAGGCUGUGUGUUUUGCUUUAAUGGGCAUUGGCAGCUCAUUUCAUGCUCAAGAAACUGCUGUGAGUGGGCAAUUGGAGAGUCGAGUGUGGGUUGUUGAGAUCAUCUGCACUUUGGUCAGGAAAUUAUCUCCUAAUCCUAAUAGUGCUGCUAUAAUGGCCAUGGGUGUUAACAUCUUGGCAAAGAGAUUGAAUGAUUGGGGUUCUUGAUUGAGUUUCUAUCCCAUGCUUCCAUUGUUGGGUUCAUGGGAGGAGCUGCCAUUACAAUGACCCUUCAGCAGCUCAAAGGAUUGCUUGGCAUAAAAA